GUGGCUUCUUGGGGAGACCAUCCCUGGUUUGAAGGUAGGGAUAUGGCAUUGUUUUUGAUUCCUGGCGUAACUAUACAGGGAAGCUGUCACAAUGUCCGGAGCAUCUCCUGCAGAUGAAGGAGGAGGAUGUCCUCAAGUUCCUGGCUGCAGGAACCCACCUGGGAGGCACCAACCUCGAGUUCCAGAUGAAGCAGCACAUCUACAAAAGGAAAAGUGAUGGCAUCUACAUCAUCAAGCUCAAGAGGACCUGGGAGAAGCUCCUGCUGGCAGCACGGGCCGUUGUGGCCUUCGAAAACCCUGCGGACGUCAGUGUGAUCUCCUCCCGGAACACUGGCCAGAGGACUGUGCUGAAGUUGGCUGCUGCCACUGGAGCUACUCCCAUCGCUGGCCGCUUCACUCCUGGCACCUUCACCAGAUCCAGGCCACCUUCCAGUAGCCGCAGCUCCUGGUGGUGACAGAUCCCAGGGCUGACCACCAGCCCCUCAUGGAGGCAUCAUAUGUGGACCUGCCCACCAUCGCUCUGUGCAACACGGACGCUCCUCUGCGCUACAUGGACAUUUCCACCCUGUGCAACAACAAGGGAGCCAACUCUGUGGGUUUGAUGUGGAUGCUGGCCCGGGAGGUUCUGCGCAUGCGUGGCACCAUUUCCGGUGAACACCUGUGGGAAGUCAUACCUGAUCUCUCCUCCUCCGCGGUCCUGAAGAGAUUGAAAAGGAAGAGCAGGCUGUGGCUGAAAAGGCUGUGUCCUAGCAGGAGUUCCAGAGUGAGUGGACCGCCCCCACUCCUGAGUUCACGGCUUUCUAGCCUGAGGUUGCAGACUGGUCUCAGGGUGUGCAGAUGCCUUUUAUGCCCAUCCAGCAGUUCCCCACAGAAAACUGGAGCGCCCUGCCUGCCACUGAAGACUGGUCUGCAGCCCCCACAGCUCAGGCCACUGAAUGGAUAGAAACCACCGCCGAGUGGUCUUAAGUGAUCUGCAGUCUUUGAAGCAGAUGUGGAGUG